UUCAGUUCGACGUUGAUACCUAGAGUGACAACAUUGAUAGUGAUAAUGAGAACCGGCUUUGUUUUACUCGUUUUGGCAAUUUGUAUGGUCUCACUGGUCACAGCUGAUGACCCUGACCGAAAAUGUGUUGAUGGAAAACACUAUUUUGAUGGCUGCAAUCAGCGUACCUGUGCAAACGGAUACGUAAUUUCCACUGAGAUGUACUGUAGUGGACCUGAUGGAAAAGCACUGCCUGAACUUCCAGCUCCAGCCGACUUUUAUGAAAAUUAAUGAACAAUUCACUGAUAUGUUCCAACUAAAAAUUGACAUCAUGAAUAAACCAGUCACAUCUUCAGUAU